ensembl:lncRNA novel transcript
CCAUAAAUGUUUACCAUAAAUUUACUAUGAUCCUUGACAUUUCAAAUUUAUAUUGCUGUUAUUAUUUUUUGUGAUAAUUUGUAGAGCUGAAGUUUGUCAAGUUUGUAUAAUGCAUUUAGCGCUGUAGUUAAGAGCAUGGGCUAUGAAUGGAUGCUAAUGGAGAGCCUGUUGCAAUGUAAAAAAGACACUCAAGUAGCUCAGUGGAAUGGCCCACAUGAUGAGAAACUGAGAGCCAGCGUCAACUGCCCAUCACAUAAUUAAGCAAGCUUGGUAGCAGACCUUCUUGCUCCGGUCAAGCCUUCAGAUGACUGGAACCCCAGCUGACAACUCCACUGUAACCCUAUGAGAGCUGCCAAGCUAGAAUCACUCAGCCAAGCCACUCCUGAAUUCUGGAUCCCCAGAGUCUGUGUGAGAUAAUAAAUGUUCAUUGUUAUAAGCCA